AUUGAACGCUAGUGGGAUGCUUUACACAUGCAAGUCGAACGAGUGGCGGACGGGUGAGUAAUAUAUCGGAACGUGCCCAGUCGCGGGGGCUAACUACUCGAAAGCGUGGCUAAUACCGCAUACUAUUCGAGCGACCGAUAUCGGAUUAGCUAGUUGGUGGGGUAAAGGCUCACAAAGGCAACGAUCAGUAGCUGGUUUGAGAGGACGAUCAGCCACACUGGGACGGAGACACGGCCCAGACUCCUACGGGAGGCAGCAGUGGGGAAUUUUGGACAAUGGGGGAAACCCUGAGCCAGCCAUCCCGCGUGUAUGAGAAGGCCUUCGGGUUGUAAAGUACUUUUGGCAGAGAAGCGGUAUCUGCAGAAUAAGCACCGGCUAACUACGUGCCAGCAGCCGCGGUAAUAC
rnacentral:rRNA from 1 species